rnacentral:rRNA from 1 species
AUGCAGAAUAUGGAAACCCUCGAUCUGCACAGUAACUCUCUAUCUGGUCGCAUACCAGAUGAUCCCCGUAAGCUCAAGAAUCUGUCCAAACUUAGAAUCUUAGACUUGUCUUCUAACACAAUGAAUGGGACAAUACCCAAUGGGAUUUGGAGAAUGCAGAAUAUGGAGGUCCUCAAUCUACACAAUAACUCUCUAUCUGGUCGCAUACCAGAUGAUUUCUGUAAGCUCAAGAAUCUGUCAUGGCUUUUAUUGAACGAAAAUCUUCUAUCUGGCCCAUUACCAGAAAACGUUACACAGUCACAAUUAACCUCCAUCUUCCAACUCAAUUUCUCUAGUAACCAACUGACGGGCAAGAUUCCAUCUCCUUUCGAGAUGAAAAGAUUCCAAUGGAGCUUUCUUUCCAACCCUGGCUUAUGUUCCUCCGACCACUUUGGCAACCUUCCUAUGUGCCCCAGAUUGCACUUGAAGAUGUUUGUAAUCAUUCUCUUGGUUUUUGGUUCAACCAUUCUCAUAUGCACAGGGCUGAUUGGUUUAACUAAGAUCAAAGCAUUUUCCUCAAAGCAAAAGGCGGAUGCCCCAUUUCCACAGUGGAAACUGACGGCCUUCCAAGCUAUUGAUUAUGACAUUCAAGACAUCCUUUGCAACCUCAUUGAUGCAAACCUUGUCGGCAGCGGUGGCUCAGGAAAGGUAUAUAAGAUCUGCCUUGGUAACAGAAACGGCGGGGUUAUAGCUGUCAAGCAAAUAUGGUGUAGUAGUGGUGAACUGGAACAUGAUGUGCUGGAAAAGCAGUUUCAAGCUGAAAUUGAGAUUCUUGGAUCCAUCCGGCAUGCCAAUAUCAUAAAGUUGCUUGGCUACAUAUCAAGCUCUGAAUCAAAGCUCCUCAUAUACGAAUACAUGGAAAACGGUAGCCUGUAUGAAUGGCUGCAUCAGAAAGAUGAACCAACGACUAGUACAACUAGACGGUUGUUGAACUGGCCGAUAAGAAUGUCAAUAGCAAUCGAUGCAGCAAGAGGGCUGUGUUACAUGCACCACGGUUGCUCUCCUGCUAUAGCACACCGUGAUGUGGAGUCUAGCAACAUCCUACUGGAUCCUCAGUUCAAGGCGAAGAUUGCGGACUUUGGUCUAGCUCGCGCACUGCUUAAAGCCGGCGAGCCAGAGUCUGUCUCGGCGGUGGUUGGGUCCUUUGGAUACAUAGCUCCAGAAUUCGGAAGCUCGAGAAAGAUGAAUGAGAAAGUUGAUGUGUACAGCUUUGGGGUGGUUCUUCUGGAGCUGGUAACAGGGAGGCGUGCAAAUGGUGGGGGCGGGUACGAGAAUUUGGCGCAAUGGGCAUGGAGGCAAUUUCAUCAAGAUGAUGAGGACAUACAUUUGACAAAUCUGAUAGAUGCAGAAAUUCGAGAUCCAGCCUACUCGCGUGAGGUACAACUGGUGUUGAAGCUAGGGCUAAUUUGCACGGGCACAAACCCAUCUUCAAGGCCGUCGAUGAAGCAGGUGCUGCAGGUCCUGCAACGCUGA